GGAUGGUGAGUGGCCUUGGCAGGUCAGUCUUCAGAAUGACCGCGGACAUUUCUGUGGAGGGACUCUAGUGUCUGACCAAUGGGUUGUUACCGCCGCUCACUGUCUCUACGGACAAUCUACUGUCGGUAUUUAUUUGCUUCUUGGCGAACAUCAUCAAGAAUACACUUCGAACAACGAGCGGAAUACAACGAUCCAAAAAGUGAUCAUACACCCCAACUACUCCCCUGAAC